rnacentral:tRNA from 1 species
GCCUGGUUGGCUCAGUUGGAGGGGCAUGUGACUCUUGAUCUUAGGGUCGUGAGUUUGAACCCCACAUUGGGUA